rnacentral:tmRNA from 13 species
UUCACUCAAACAACAAUUGGCGAAUCUAAUUACGCCAUGGCUGCUUAAUCUUAACUUAACGUUGAGGUGAAGGCUUAAAGGGUCGAGUCUCUAGCGAGAUUCCCCAGCCACAUCCACCAGUGCCUCGUUCUUCCGGUGCUGAUUUUGGGUGUCGACAUGGUUGAACUAGUGGGUGCGAGGCUACUAAGCACCUGCGAAAUUAAGUGGCUAAGCUGUGCGUUGGUAUGUUGCCUACCGGCAAGCAGUCGAAAAUUCAAUCGGUAACUAUGCAUGUAGACGGUACAUUUUUCCCUUAUCUGGACGAGGGUUCGACUCCCUC